ensembl:misc_RNA 7SK 7SK RNA
GCAUGGGUGAUUGGGAUAUAAUAUUUAUCAAUGCUGAUUACUUGGAUUGCUUUGGCUGAUCUGGCUAGCCUGGAGGGUUUUUCCAUUCUUCCCUCACUGCUGCAUAUGUUUUCUUUCUCAAACCUGUCCUCUGUCAAAGAGAACAACGUUUUCUACUAGCAGAAGGGGGAAAGCAACAAAGCAAAAGCUCUGUCUUUUCAAAAAAGCUAAAAAAUAGCACUUUUGUUACCAAGUUUGAACAUGAAGAUAGAUGUAAAACUACUUGAACAUGAAGAUAGAUGUAAGUUGGAUAUUCAUCU